CUAGCCUGGGAACCUCCAUAUGCUGCGGGUGUGGCCCUAAAAAGGACAAAAAGACAAAAAAGAGAAAAGAAAGGAGCCUCUUUCAACCUGGAGCUGGAGCCAGACUGGUGUGACCAGCUUCCUUUUCAGGACCAGGGAUCGACCCUGCAACCUCAUGGAUACUGGUCGGGUUCGUUACCACUGAGCCACGACGGGAGCUCCAGGCCGGGCGUUUUAGGCCGGAAGAAGAGUGUGGAGUAAAACGGAAGGUAACGAGGUCACUUGUCCAUCAGGAGAAAGCCACAGGCACAGCAUGAGAGCUUCACCCUGUGAGCUGAGAGACGUCUUGCACAGCCUUGAGGCGUGGGAACCGUAUCCCUGCUUUGACGCCUGGGGAACCUGGGGCUCCAAGAGGCAAUGUCGCCUGUCUAAGUGUCUUUUGGUUGGUGAUGUGGCUGCGCUGCUGAAAUACACGCUGGUGUCCCGAAGCCCGGGAAGGCUGCCCGGUGUCACACGGAGCAAAACAUGUGCGUGAGAUGCGCUUCCUGCGGACCCAUGCUGUAGCGUUAUUGGCCGUGAGCUCGGUGUGAGUGAACCAAUCAGAUACAUUACACACGGUGUCUUGAAACAGAAACACACAUCAAACCAGGUUACGCACUGUCAGCUGACGCCGAGGUUGUGAACAUGCUGCUUUCCCUGUAUGCCUCUCAGGAGCGGUGGGUCAGGAGUCACUAAUUCCUCGUUCAUGGAGACUUUAGAGAAUGUUAACGAUGGCCAAUAAUGGGAAUCGAACGUAUAAUUUUACAGGCACAGAGACCCAGGAGAUGUCUAGUGUCUUUAUUUUACAGAUGAGGAAACCCAGGAGUCGAGAGGUCAAGGAAAUUGCCCAUCCUAAGCGACACCCACCGUCUAGACGACUAAACCCACCCUUUUGAUGACAGGCUUGUUGCAAACACGUUCUUCGCCUCCACGGAAGAUGAAAGGAAGAUCACAGACGUUUAGGAAACAAAUGUCCUCUGCUAUGUUCAAAAGGGGCAGGGGGAGGGUGCCGGGCUGGGGGGUUCACUGCACAAGACUCAUCUGCGUGUAUUUCGGCGAUGACAUAUGGAUGGGGUUGGUCAGAGGGGCUCGAACCUGAAUGUUCCCUGAAAGCACUUCAGUGACUCAAAAAAAAAAAAAAGUAUGUCAGCCUUUCGGCCCUGGAUGGCAUUCCCUGCAAUUGCUCAACAAAUGAUUCUUUGUAGAACUAUUAUUGUUGAUUAUUGUUAUUGGUCGGACCAGCAGUUCCCUGGCCAGGGAUCAAACCCAGGCCAGCACUGACAACACGCCAUCAUCAACCUGCGGCACCCCAAGGGGACUCCUGAUUCUUUGUCCUAGUGACAGAGCCUUGAACGUCCACAAAACCACAGGGGAAGGCAGUCUACCUUUCUCCCUGAAAUGCAUCUCCUAUUUGCAUCCCCUUUUCAGCACUUCGAUCGCCCUAUCUGUUGACUAUUGUGAUCAUUCAUUUUAUGUGUCAGCUUAAACUAUCUGGCCAUGUGCCCAGAUAUUUGAUCAAACGUUAUUCUGGAUAUUAAGGGAAUUUGGGGGGAGGGAGGCAGGAUUUAUUUUUAUGUAUGCCACUGAUGGAUUUGCUUGUUUGUUAUUUUUACAUGCGCUUCAUUUCAUUUUAUUUUUUCCUGGCUUUACUGAGAUAGAGUUGACAUAAAACUGUGUAAG